UAGAGGAAGUAAAAGUCGUAACAAGGUUUCCGUAGGUGAACCUGCGGAAGGAUCAUUAGAGAGGACUUACACACUGUCUAGGGCCACAACAUACCUUCUAUAAUUUUUUUAUUUUUGAAAAAUACAACUUUCAACAACGGAUCUCCUGGCUCUCGCAUCGAUGAAGAACGCAGCGAGUCGCGAUAUGUAUCAUGACUUGCAGACGUGAAUCAUUAAUCUUUGAACGCACAUUGCGCCCUGGGGCACUCCCCAGGGCAUGCCUGUUUGAGCGUCGGCUUUCCUCAGGCCCGCGGGCCUGGUUUUGGCGCCAAAUCUCAGAAAUCAAGAUUGUACUUUCUGACCUCACUCAGGUAGGACUACCCGCUGAACUUAAGCAUAUCAAUAAGCGGAGGAAAAGAAACCAACAGGGAUUGCCCCAGUAACGGCGAGUGAAGCGGCAGCAGCUCAAAUUUGAAAUCCCGCGGGAAUUGUAAUUUGAAGGCGCGGUUUGGCGCCGCGCGAUCUUGCCAAGUCCAUUGGAACAUGGCGCCAGGGAGGGUGAGAGCCCCGUGGGCAAGCAUCGCGCGGGUCCGGUCCGCGCCAAAGAGUCGAGUUGUUUGGGAAUGCAGCUCCAAGCGGGUGGUAAAUUCCAUCUAAAGCUAAAUACUGGCGAGAGACCGAUAGCGAACAAGUACAGUGAUGGAAAGAUGAAAAGCACUUUGAGAAGAGAGUGAAACAGUACGUGAAAUUGUUGGAAGGGAAGGGCUUGCAAGCAGACACGAAGAGCCUUUUUCGGGCCAGCAUCGGGUGGAGGGGCGCCAGACCCGGCGGGAAAACGUGGCGUGCAACAUUGCGUUGCCGUGUUAUAGUUCCCGCCGCCAGCGCCACCGCCGCCCGAGGACCGCGACGCAAGUCAAGGAUGCUGGCGUAAUGGUUGCAAGCCGCCCGUCUUGAAA
rnacentral:rRNA from 1 species